rnacentral:rRNA from 1 species
UACAGAGGUCUCAAGCGUUGUUCGGAUUCAUUGGGCGUAAAGGGUGUGUAGGUGGCGCCGUAAGUCGGGUGUGAAAUUCGACGGCUUAACUCCGAAACUGCAUUCGAUACUGCCGGUGCUUGAGGACUGGAGAGGAGACUGGAAUUUACGGUGUAGCGGUGAAAUGCGUAGAUAUCAGGAAGAACACCCGUGGCGAAGGCGGCUCUCUGGGACGGUACUGACGCUGAGACGCGAAAGCGUGGGGAGCGAACAGG